rnacentral:rRNA from 1 species
UACGUAGGGUGCAAGCGUUGUCCGGAAUUAUUGGGCGUAAAGAGCUUGUAGGCGGUUUGUCGCGUCUGCUGUGAAAUUUCGGGGCUCAACCCCGAACUUGCAGUGGGUACGGGCAGACUAGAGUGCGGUAGGGGAGACUGGAAUUCCUGGUGUAGCGGUGAAAUGCGCCAGAUAUCAGGAGGAACACCGGUGGCGAAGGCGGGUCUCGUGGGCCGUAACUGACGCUGAGGAGCGAAAGCAUGGGGAGCGAACAGG